UACGGGGGGAGCAAGCGUUGUUCGGAUUUACUGGGCGUAAAGGGCGCGUAGGCGGCCAGCACAAGUCAGUUGUGAAAUCUCCGAGCUUAACUCGGAAAGGUCAACUGAUACUGUGCGGCUAGAGUGCGGAAGGGGCAACUGGAAUUCUUGGUGUAGCGGUGAAGUGCGUAGAUAUCAAGAGGAAUACCGGUGGUGUAGACGGCUCUCUGGACCGCCACUGACGCUGAGACACGAAAGCGUGGGUAGCAAACAGG
rnacentral:rRNA from 1 species